rnacentral:rRNA from 1 species
AUGCAUCGUGCACGCCGUCCCCUACCGGAGCUCCAGCCCGCCUCUCCUCCUCCCUCGUUUCUCUCUCCCCUGCCUCUCACUUCUUUCUUUUUUCCCUUGUCCAUGAGCAGGAGCACACAAGGAGCCUCGCCGCUGCUGCCACCACCACCACGGACGUCUUCGCGCCACCGCCGCCUCCGAGUUCGUCAGCCGCCGCUCAGAUCUGCGGUAUCCAUGUCCCCAAGACGCCGGUGUCCGUCCUCCGCCCCGGAUCUGGCUUGUCCACGCCCUUUGUCCUCCCCUGCGACCGGCGCCGCCACCCUCCCCACUGCCUCGUCUACAUGCGUGAGGACAACGAUGACAACGCCACCGUCGACCGUCUGGGUCGUCCCUCGGCCUCGCUCGCGUGGGCAAGCCAGUCGUCGCCGGCGGGAGCGAACUACUCCUUGCAUUUACUCUAUCCCAUCUGCAUCUCUGUUUUUCUCACCGGACUGA